rnacentral:rRNA from 1 species
UACGAAGGGGGCUAGCGUUGUUCGGAUUUACUGGGCGUAAAGCGCACGUAGGCGGAUCGUUAAGUCGGGGGUGAAAUCCUGGAGCUCAACUCCAGAACUGCCUUCGAUACUGGACGGCUCGAGACCGGAAGAGGUCAGUGGAACUGCGAGUGUAGAGGUGAAAUUCGUAGAUAUUCGCAAGAACACCAGUGGCGAAGGCGGCUGACUGGUCCGGUUCUGACGCUGAGGCGCGAAAGCGUGGGGAGCAAACGG